rnacentral:rRNA from 1 species
AUUGAACGCUGGCGGCAGGCCUAACACAUGCAAGUCGAGCGGAGAGGCGGACGGGUAAGGGAUGACUAGGAAUGAGCAUGGGAGUGGGGGAUAGCGUCCGGAAACGGGAGCUAAUACCACAUACUCUCAGAUGAGCCUAGGUCGGAUUAGCUAGUGGGUGUGGUAACGGCCUACCAAGGCGACGAUCCGUAACGGGACUGAGAGGAUGAUCAGUCACACUGGAACUGAGACACGGCCCAGACUCCUACGGGAGGCAGCAGUGGGGAAUAUUGGACAAUGGGCGAAAGCCUGAUCCAGCCAUGCCGCGUGUGUGAAGAAGGUCUUCGGAUUGUAAAGCACUUUUAGUUGGGAGGCGUUACCAACAGAAUAAGCACCGGCUAACUUCGUGCCAGCAGCCGCGGUAAUAC